rnacentral:rRNA from 1 species
UUCCAGACUCCUACGGGAGGCAGCAGUGAGGAAUAUUGGUCAAUGGGCGGGAGCCUGAACCAGCCAAGCCGCGUGAAGGAAGAAGGCGCCAGGCGUCGUAAACUUCUUUUGUCGGGGAACAAAGGGCGCCACGCGUGGCGUUGUGAGUGUACCCGAAGAAAAAGCAUCGGCUAACUCCGUGCCAGCAGCCGCGGUAAUACGGAGGAUGCGAGCGUUAUCCGGAUUUAUUGGGUUUAAAGGGUGCGUAGGCGGUCCGGAAAGUCAGCGGUAAAAGCCCGGGGCUCAACCUGUGGCCUGCAUUUGAAACUGUAGUUCUUGAGUACUGGAGAGGCAGGCGGAAUUCCUAGUGUAGCGGUGAAAUGCGUAGAUAUUAGGAGGAACACCAGUGGCGAAGGCGGUCUGCUGGACAGCAACUGACGCUGAGGCGCGAAAGCGUGGGGAGCAAACAGGAUUAGAUACCCUUGUAA